UGGAAGGAGAAGUCCCAUUUUAUUGCUGGACUUAGAAGUGAUGAGGGCACGAUAGCAGACAACAACAGGAUGCCGGGGCACCGUGCUUUUACCGAGUUCAGAAACCAUGCCGAACCAUUUUCUGUUCUCGGCCUUUUUCCUUUUGUGUGUCAUGUGUGCUUGUACGGAUCGGUGCCGUGUGUGCAGGCUAGGGGCAGACUUGAAAAGGGAGAUCUGUGCCGUGCCUUGCUGGUUCUUAACAUUUUAGAGUUGCAAAGGCAUGUUUUAGGCACUGCAAUGCCUUCCUCCAUCCCUUCUGCUUUCUCCAUUCUUCUGGCUCCUCCCAGUGGUCUCUGCUGACCCUGCUACUGAAGGCUUUCCACCCCUUCCAGAGGGACAGUCGGGAGGCCUUGUUCACAUCCAGCCCAGCUUCCAGCACGUGGGCUUCUUUACCAGGGCAUCUCCAGACUUGGGAGAGAAGCCCUGGUGGGCGCUGGCAGCCUUAAGGGAUUUGCAGGAUUUUGACUUGCUUGUAAAAAUAUCUUUUUGACAAAUUGACUUCUGGGCUUUUCUUAGUAGGGCGGUUCUGGACCUGGCCCCUGUUCUGGAGGAGUUACCUACAGUUGAAAAUAGCAGUGGAGAAGUGGUCGGAGUUUGGCCCAUAAAAGACGUGAAGGAAUUUCUUUGCCUGGCAUCUACACUGCCACUUCGGUUAUUUCCACAUUUGCAAGGAGAUGCAGAGAUUCCUCUUUCCUCAUUGUAUUUUUGGUCUCUGCUGCUUUGGGGACAUGAUUGAAGAGACAAGCUGCAGGCAGUGACUAAUGAAGUGUCUCAGAUGUCUUUCCAUGAUGAGGCAGCCUAAUGUGGAAAAUGCUGCCCUUUUUCUGGGGGGAAUUUUGUCUCUUGCUGCCUGUUAUAGGGAACCCACUUUCUUGUUCUUUAUUUUAGCCUUCAGCAGAGGAGGAAGAGGAGGAAAGGGGUUUUCAGGCCAGUCAGCAGGAGCCUUUUUUUCUAGAGCUUCAGCAGAUCCUCACCACAGUGACACUCAGGUUAGGCUGUUCCCAAUUUACCCAUCUCAGCUGUUACAAAUUUACCCAGAGUGGUCUCCCCAUGCAGCCCACCUCCCCUCUUGCUGUUGUGAGUAAUCUGUAGCCGAGUGACUUGGAGCUGUGGCACCAGGCAGUGCGGUGAAGCAGCAGCAGCCCCCAGCCUGAUGAUGUGUGGGACAUGCAGGCAGCUAGUGUGAUCCUCGAGCGCCUUCAUUUCCAGAAGUAGCCAGUCAGUGGCUUUCUCCUUAGAUAAAGAAUUUUUUGUACCCUGCCCUGUGAGCAGCUUGUUCGCUGCAAGGAUGACUGUAGCUGCAGUUAGGUCUGCUGCGAAAUUCCCAAGAUUCCCAUCAGCAGCCUCGUUUAAACAUCUCCCAGCCCUGCUAUAAACAAGCAAGAGACGCUCACCCUGCACCCUGGCCGGGAGCCAAGGGCAUCGGGCGCUCCAGCUGGAGACAGAAGGGGAGCACAGAAAAGAGUGUCAAGUCAUGAAUCAUGGCAGUGAGGAUCGACAGCCACCGUCAACAAAACCAGGCAAACCUGGGGCUGGCUGCUUAAUUAAGCAGUUUAUUUCUCAUCAAAGUGACAAUGUGCAGGCAAGCUGGAGAGGCAGCAAAGCACUGCUGGCAAGCAGCUGCCUUUGCUCCGUGCUCGUGGGGUGCCUCCUCACCAUGUUCUUCGACAGCGAGAUACCACUAGGGCUGUGGAUGGAGUUUGUGGGCCUCUUGGCUGCUUCUGGCUGGUUUCCUAAGGUGACAAAGCCUACGUAAUUGUGCUGUUUACCUUGGGGCCCUUCUGGCAACUUCUGAACAUAGCUUCAACCAGAUUUGAGAAAAGAUUAGAAAUUUCCAAGAUUAUUAUAUUUCUACAGAUUUUAUGACGCUCUGCGGGUGGAAAGAGAACCGGGCCCAGGUCAGUGCCUUGCACGGCAGAGGCAGGGAGGGUGCAGCCGAUACAGAGCUCGUCUGGCAGCUGUGACCUGUGUAUGCAGGGUGCACGUGUCGGUGCGACAGCCAGCACACGCAUACGUCAGGACUAGCCAGAGCAGGGAAGGAAAGGGGCGUGAAGGGAAAACUGGGAUUAACGCAGGGCGGGAGGGGCAUACAAGGGCACAGGAGACAAAGGCAGAAUAGGGCUCACUGGCUAUUUUCAUCUGUUCCAAGAUCCUUAGCCAUGCCAGGUUGUGCUGCUUAAUUCUGUGAAGAAAUCUGUAUGGUCUGUGCUCACCGGCAGAGCUUAGAAACGCCUCAGGAGCUCCAUGUUUGAGGUGUGAGACUUGCUUGGUUGGCUGCAUCCUGAGCAACUUCGUUACUGGGCUGGAAGCUUGAACAUGGUGCCUCCAUCGUGAGGGGUUUUGGGGGAUUUAGGUGCAGCCCAGCAGCUCCUGGCAGGUUUCCAGGGUGGCAUAGCUUUUUUCUUGGACAAUUCUCAGUGCCUGGCCUAAAUAUGCUGUCACCCCUCGUGUGUGUGGGAUAACAAAGGCUGGGGGGAUGCUCCGUGGCAAGUGAAGUUGCAGUGAAGUUUUCCUUGGGUUCUGCCUAAGCAGAAAGUUCACGGGACCACAGUCUUACAUUUUCUUGGCACAAAUGGCCUCGUACCCAAGCAGGCGCCGUGUUUCCUGUCUUAUGGCACAUCUUAACACAUUACUUUGAAGGGCUGCAGCUCUGUUUUGCAAGGUGAUCUCCCGCAGCACAGCCAAUGCCAGUAGAUGCUCGUGAUUAACCGCACGCCCUAGGGUGUCCUCCUUCAUCCCUGCCACACUGCAGUGCUCCCCACCUGGGCUGAUCUGAUGGGUUGUCAGUGUGCCCCGUGACUCUGGUGUCACCUUGAGCAGAAACCCCAUGUUUUUUUCUGAAUCGGGAGUGCACGGCCUCGUGUGUGUGACCAGUGGGCGCAGCCAGCUCCCUCCUGGUUGCCGUGCCCCCUGCUCCUGCGAGGUUAUGUAAGGAAAGAUGAAAUUUUCUCCCCAGAGGCGGGGGAGCGAAUGCAGUCUCCAGCAAACCUGGAACAAGGAGCAGCUUGGAGAAGGUGUGCUUCCAGGCCACGUGCCAGCGCUGAACCAGCACCAAGAAACCGCGGCAGGUUUACAGAAAUGCCACAGGCGAAACGAGAGCUCUGGUAAUUCACAGGCUCCCUGGGUCUGACAGGCAACCAUCCAGCCUCACCUCUUGUAUAAGACUGGCCCCUUCAUUUCGUGUAGUUACCCCUGUCCCACACCCAAUAAUAUGUGCUUGCCAGCGGUGCUUUUGGGAAGUUAAACAGCCCUGGUGCAGAA